AUCUCUAACAUUCAUUCACUCUCUCUCUCCACUGUCUCUCUCUCUCUAAUUCAACACUCUCUCUCUGCGAUCAAUUCUGUGAAUUUGUGUUGUUUGCGGUUACAAGAAUGUUGAUACCACUUUCAAUUGUAGAUGAUGUUGCUAUCGUUGAUUUAGGUCAACAACAUCACCGCCACAACAUGUUACCUGUGUAUGUUCUCUUUGAUUCUCGUACCAUGUCUCACAACCACCACCCAACAAGAACACCACCUGGGUCUGUGAUCGAUCAACCUCUUCUCUUUGAUUCUCGUAUCACCAACAAUGUUCCAACAAGAUUAAUGUCUCACAACCACAACAGUGUUUCAUCAAGAUUAACUUCACCAACAGUGUCUGUGGUAGAUGAAACUGUUCUCUAUGACUUUCCUAUCGGCAAUGUUCCAAGAAGAUCAAGGAUUCAUCAUCAAACGGGUCAUCCCCACCACAACCACCACCACCACCACAAUGGUACUCGAGCUUCUCCGGCGGUGAUGGGUGUUCAAAAUACUAGAGCUUCUGGUGCUCAAGAUACUUGUCAACAUGUCACAACAUCAACAACAGAUGCUCAAUCCAUUUGUUGCAUUUGUCUUGUUAACUUGUCUAAUGGUUCUUCCAUGCCAAUUCGGCUGCGCUGCUCUCAUGAUUUUCAUACCGACUGCAUUCAAAAAUGGAUCAACAUUAAGAAAACUUGUCCACUUUGUCGCGCCAAUGUUUAAUUUUCAUAUAUAGAGUGUUGUUGAUUUAUAAAAAUGUUUCCUUUCUUUUGUUAUUUUCCAUGUUUUGGUUUGAUGAUUUUCCAUGUUUAGGUUUGAUUCCCUUGGAUUACCGGACAUUCCUUCAAGCCCUCUGAGGUAAGUUUUUGUUGGGUUGCUGUUACCUAUGAUACAUCAUGUGUGUUGGAGUUUUGUUUGUUAGUAUAGGUUCUACAUAAAACAUAUAUGUGCUCUGUCUUUGUGUGCAAACCUGUUUUUUUGUCUAUCUUUUCUUUUAUUCUUUGUGUCAAUAUGUGUUACACCGUAUAUGUAUGUGUUGUUUGUGAAUAUUUAGAACUAUGCUUUUGUCCUUGCAAAUGUCCAGUUUUAUAGUUGUGAACAGAUGCUGAAUAACGGUAGAUAUUCAUGUUAAAAUAUUAGUCUAUUAGGCUUUGUUUCGUUUUGUCUCUAUCAAUUGUUAUAUGCUUGUUUGGUUGGAUGGAUUAUGGAAUUAACAACUAUUUUGUGACAAUGGAGAAGGUGUGGGAUCUUAAUAUGGAUUAUAGCUUAUGGGUCACGUAAGCAUGCUUUUAUGAUUCUUACUAGUUAUGAUUCUGUGGUAAAUAUGAGAAGCAAUGAAGAUAAGAAAAGGUUGAAGAUUACAUUGUCUGGAUUUGUACUCAAGGUGACGAGUAUGUUAGGUUGUAUGGCAUUCAGAUGGAACUCAAAGAUAUUCAGAGAUGCAACUUGUUUGAAAUAAAAAGUUAAAAGUUUGUCAUUUCCCAACUAAUGGUUUUUUGUUUUCUGGUAAUGUUGCAAUGUUCAAGAUUAUUUAGGUAACUACUCAAGAACUUACAAUAUUGUUUGUUGCUUUCACUUCCUUUUUCUUUGUCAAUAUGUGUUACACCAAGAAUUGGAUUGAAGUGAUUUUGUCUGAUUCCCGGUGUUUGUAUAUUGUGGUUGUUUAGUCCUAUGAAGUUUAGGUGCAUGUUGUUUAGCUUGUUAUCUAUCAUUUAUUAGAAAUAUACCUGGACUUAUAGAGUACUUUCUGUAGCUGCAACUUGUGGUAGAGUUGCGGCAGUUUUGAAGCAUCCUCCGCCACUUAAUUUUACCACAGUAGCUGCGAGCUUAAUAUAUAAUCUGGAAACCUCCGCCACUAAAUUUUACCACAGUAACUCAAUUAUUUAUUCGGUUAGGCUAAUCAUAGUGAAUUUGAGAAAACAAAAUCAAAUUCAAGUAAGAUUGCAAGUUUAACAGGAUUUGAACUUUCUGUCAAAUUUAGAUGGGUUUUUUCUUUGAAACCAACAAGUUAGAUGUGAUCCAAAUACAUAUUUACUGGAAAUGUGACUGUUGGUGAUGUUAUUUUGUUGAUUCCUUCGUAUUGUGUAUUUAAGUUGUUUGGUGAAUUGAGUGGAAAUUUUCAUUGUUGAAGAUUAUGCUUCAUCACAUUUACCGCCCAAUUGUAAGCUUCAUCUUCUUUAUAUGUCAGUAUAAAUAAUGAGUAACUACUAAUUUUGAGCAAACAUUUCAUAUCGUUCAAUUCAAGUUGGUAGAAGUGAACUGCUUCAUAGAUCAACUCAAGUCUGGCCAACCAAGGUAUGCAACACAGAUGAUUUAAUUUCAUUUAUCUUUGCUUUUUGUUUCUUAUGAUUUCAUUUCAUAUUUGUUUUAUGUACCAGCUAUACUUCUUCACCCUCUUCAAGGGUUCAGGAUGGUUCUAAAUACCUUAAGUUAAAAAUUUGUAUUGUUUGUUGUGCAUGAAUAGAAGAAUCAUUGAGUCUAAGUUCUGAAAAUGGAGAAGAAUUAGUCAUGGUGUAACGGUUGUGAUCUAUCUCAAGUCAUAUAUGUACUAUUUACUUCUUGUUUUCUAUAUUUUUUUUCUUCUUAUAGUUUUAACAUCUCUUAAUUGUAUGUUUCUCGGUUGUACAGUCAUUAUAAUUGUUAUAAUGCUAAUUGCUAAUGCCUUGAAGCUUUUGUGACCUUUUCUCAUCAGCAACAGAUUUUGAAACACUCUCCAUGUCCUUGCAUCUUCUUGCAACAUACUCAAAUUCUACUCUCGUUUGGGUGACAGAUCUAAGUUUUCCCUUCCUGCUGGUCUUGAGCCUUUGUCUAAUAAACUAAGGUACCUACAUUGUAGUGCAUAUCCUUUGAAGUUUCUACCGUCAGCUCUUUCUCCUGAGAAACUUGUUGAGCCUUGCAUGCCAAACAGCCGUGUUCAAAGAUUAUGGGACGUAGUGUAGGUUUGUGGCUUGAAAUAUAUGAAACUAAUUUAUACAUUGUAUUAUAUGUGAUCAAAGUUUUUUUGGUUUGUUACAUGAUCUAAUUAAUUUAAAGAAAAUGGACCUUAGCUGUUGUGAGCACUUGAUAGAGCUUCCUGAUUUCUCCAUGGUAUCACAUCUCCAAUACAUUCACCUCUCUAGACGUGUAAGGUUGUGUCAUGUUCAUACAUCUACUUAGCACUCCAAAAUCUUGUCAAUUUAAACCGGGUUUGGUGCAACAAGCUCAAGAGUCUUAUAAGCAAUUCCCCUUCAAACUAUGCUAAUUCUCGAGCUCUAUGGCUGCUCAAGUCUCAAGGAAUUUUCUGUGAUAUCUACAAAAAUGACAGUUUGAUUUAAGAUGAUGUAUUGCUAUCAAUGAAUUGCGGCAGCCAUAAGUUGAGUACCUUGGAAGUCUUAUGGACUUGGAGUUGAGUAGCUAUGAUAGGCACCUUAGAUAUCUUCCAAAUGAGUUCUCAUGCUUGAAAUCUCUUGGCCAUCUGGUACUUUCUGAUUGCAUGCUACUUGACGACAUGUCAAAUCUACAUCUUUUAUUUGAUGGCCGGCGUUCGUUUGGAUACUUUUGUCUGGACAACAGUUGUAAUCUGACUGAACUACCUCACAACAUUAGUCUGUUAACAUUAUUAAAUUAUUUAUCACUCAGCGGAAUCAACGUGAAGAACAUUCCUAUAAGCAUCAAGCAUCUUUCACAGCUAGAAUCUCUUGGCUUGUGCAAAUGCGUGAGCAUUUAGUCUCUACCAGAACUCUCACCAUCUAUUCAAGUGUUGGAUGUCACCAACUACACAUCCUUGGAGACCGUCGUCAUCUUCGUGUUAUCAAUGAACUACUAGAAGAGCACAAGUCAUACAAUUUGGAGACCAGCAUCCUGAUGGUACAUAUGAUUCAUUCCCUUUGAUGGUUUCACCUUUUUCCCCUGCUUGAAUGAAUUCCAUGAAACGCAUCACAGUCCAUGAACAAAAUGAAGGGUUUCAAUUUCAACUAUAAUCAGAGCUCGCAAUUCUCUUCGGUAUGUUGUUCGAGUUAGGGUAUGCGGUUUUGAAAAAAUUGCAAAGGUUUACCACUCGCCAUUAAAGUGCCUGCAACAUCAGUCAGAAAUAGGCCUUAUGGAUUGUGUGGCGAAAGAUAGGGCUCAUGUCUUAAUAGCAAGGAAAAAUGCAACUGAUGCAGACAAUUACAACCAUAAUAUUGUCCUUCAUGAUCCUGUUAAUAAAUUGGAAUUUACCAAAGAACCAAUUGAGCAGAGAAGAAGAAUGAUCAUUGACAUGAAUCAAGAUUUCCCAAUAUGAAGGAAGAUAGAGGUAGGAGAAGAAUGACGCCUCUCCAAAGAGAAAUGCACAUCAACAAUCGCAUAUAUUUACACAAUUUGAGGAAGCAGAGAUCAUUGUAGAUAUCUGCAUUAGAUUUGGAAGACAGAUAGAGAAAUCUAAAGUGAGGAGCAUUAUUCGGAAGACGACAACGACGUUUCAAUAAUUAUAGUGAAGGAGGCAAUUCGCGCUAAGAUAUAUAUUGAGCUAGCCAAGCCAAGAUAGAGGGUAUUGGGUUGGGAUUUUAGUUGUGUUAGUAGCUUUUGACUAUUUGUGUACUCAAAAAUGUGUCAUAUCUCAGUUUUUACUUGUAUUCAAGUUAACAUAUCAUGGUGUGGAAUUGUUCAAUCAAAGUUUCUUAGGAACUUAUUAUUUAAUACAGUUGGAAAAUUAAAGGUCCUUCUAAUUCUGA